UACGGGGGGAGCAAGCGUUGUUCGGAUUCACUGGGCGUAAAGGGUGCGCAGGUGGUCGGGUAAGUCUGAUGUGAAAUCCCGCAGCUUAACUGCGGAAUGGCAUUGGAUACUAUUUGGCUAGAGGGUUGGAGGGGGGACUGGAAUUCUCGGUGUAGCAGUGAAAUGCGUAGAUAUCGAGAGGAACACCAGUGGCGAAGGCGAGUCCCUGGACAACUCCUGACGCUGAGGCACGAAAGCUAGGGGAGCAAACAGG
rnacentral:rRNA from 1 species